rnacentral:lncRNA from 1 species
CCUGUCUCCUAUCUUUUAGCCAAAAUCCCGCCCAAAGGCAUGUCUGCCGGGCACUGGUGCAACGCCCCCUACCCACGCCCUCCGGGCUCAGAUUCCCGGGUUCCGGACUCCAGAGACCUGUCCGCCUGGCGUCCCCCGACCGCCGAGUUUCCGCGGGCGCCACCGGGGCCCUCCGGCGGACCCUCAAGGGCCCGCAGGCCGCCCCCGCGCUCAGCUGAGACACGGCAGUGCGCGAAGCCUGGGCACUCACCCAGCGGGAGAGGGCAGGAGGCGGCGCAGCGGGCGGUAGCGGCAGCCUGGCCUCGCACUCUGCGCUCACGGCUGUUUUCCUCGUUCCCACUUUUCCUGGUGUACCACGAUGGGCGCCAAUGCAGGUCCCCCAAGCUCCGCACCUCCCUGAGGGCACCGCGCUGUCCCUGCCAGAAAGAUCCUUGGCGCACAGAGCACAGAAUGACUCGAGCGGGGGCUCGUGGGUUCCUUGGCGCUGUGCCCUCCUUCCAGGCGACAGCGGUGCUGCUGGACGGGGUUCGAGCCUUGGGCUGCCGGUCAGACUUUCAGGUACAUGGAAGUUAUACUGAGGAUUUCUCCCCCUGAGAACACCAAUGAAGUCGCAGAUGUCAAAAUAUGUAUAAGAAUUUUGCCUAAUU